UAUAUACUCCCUCCAUUCCAAAUUAGUUGAUUUGAAUUUUUCUAAAUACAGAUGUAUCUAUACUUGUUUAGUGUCCAGAUACAUUCAUGUCUAGAUAAAUAUGAGUUAAGUAAUUUGAAACGGAGGGAGUAUUAA
rfam:Triticum aestivum genome assembly, contig: Triticum_aestivum_CS42_TGACv1_scaffold_622152_7DS